rnacentral:rRNA from 1 species
CUGAAUUACUACGCUCAUCUCUUAGUUUUUAAACCGGCGAUGCGUUCUUGAGGCGGCUUCAUUAUCUUCUUUCGAUGGUUGCUUCUGUUACUACGAUGGGUGCGACGAGAAGCGGAGAAGUAGGGUUCGACUCCGGAGAGGGUCCCUGAGAAACGGCUACCACUUCGAAGGGAGGGAGGAGGCGCUACUACUACCCACUCUCGGAAAAAGGAGGUAGUGACGAAAAAUAACGAGAUAACCCGCUCUAGCGAGUUAUCAUCGGAAUGAGUACAAUCUAAAUCCUUUAACGAGGACCUAGCGGAGGGCAAGUCUGGUGCCAGCAGCCGCGGUAAUUCCAGCUCCGCCAGUGUAUAUCUAUGCUGCUGCGGUUAAAAAG